UUUCAUGUAAAUUAUUUCCUGGUAUACCAUGUGUUAAAUAGAUAUUUUGGUGAAUGAAGACAGUAUUGGAUGUACUUGACUGUAUUGAAUUGCUUUUCACCUUUUGUAUGACCCUUUUCAAAAACAUGGUUCUGAAACUGUUGAUAAGUUUCCUCUUUGUGUUCCCAGCAGGCAUUACCUCAGAAAUUACAAUUACUCAGUCUGCUGCUCAAGUGAAAAGACCAGGAGAAAGUAUGUGGUUCACCUGUGCAGUUUCUGAAUUUUCUCUCACAAGCUGUGGAAAAAGCUGGAUCCGUCAGGUUUCUGGAAAGGAACUGGAAUGGAUUGCAGACAUCUGGCAUAAUGGAGGCACUGCUUAUAGCACUAUAUUUCAAAGUCGGGCCAUCAUCACAAAAGACAAUUCUAAGAGCCAAGUAUACUUGCAGCUCAAUACUUUAAAGGCUGAAGACACAGCUGUAUAUUAUUGCAUAAGACACAGCAGUUCAUCCAGUCCUACCAUUAUUGAAUCUGGUGGUGACAUUAAGAGACCUGGGGAGUCCAUAAAACUGACUUGCACAGUGUCUGGAUUUUCUGUAGCAGAGUCAUACAUGGAUUGGAUCCGUCAACGUCCAGGAGAGGGACUGGAAUGGAUUGGACGUGUUGCAAAGAGUGGAAGUGUGUACUACAAUAGUAUUUUGCAAAAUCAGUUAACCUUCACAAGAGAUACAUCCAAAAAUCAGGUUUUUGUCCAAGUCAAUGGUCUAAAACCAGAAGAUACUGCCUUGUAUUCCUGUGUAAAUAACACACAGUGA